AUACGUAGGUGGCAAGCGUUGUCCGGAAUUAUUGGGCGUAAAGCGCGCGCAGGCGGUCCUUUAAGUCUGAUGUGAAAGCCCACGGCUCAACCGUGGAGGGUCAUUGGAAACUGGGGGACUUGAGUGCAGAAGAGGAAAGUGGAAUUCCAAGUGUAGCGGUGAAAUGCGUAGAGAUUUGGAGAGACACCAGUGGCGAAGGCGACUUUCGGGUCUGUAACGGACGCUGGGGCGCGAAGGCGGGGGGAGCAAACAGGAUUAGAUACCCUGGUAGUCCACGCCGUAAACGAUGAGUGCUAAGUGUUAGGGGGUUUCCGCCCCUUAGUGCUGCAGCUAACGCAUUAAGCACUCCGCCUGGGGAGUACGGUCGCAAGACUGAAACUCAAAGGAAUUGACGGGG
rnacentral:rRNA from 1 species